rnacentral:misc_RNA from 1 species
UUUCCGUCGGUGAACCUGCGGAAGGAUCAUUAUUGGAUUUUGAAACUUCAGGCUGCUGCUGGCUCUCCUCGGAGGGCAUGUGCACGCUUGUUGUCCAUUAUUUCUCCCACUGUGCACAAAUUGUAGACCUUUCAGUAGGCCUAUGUUGUUUUUCACAAUCUCUGAAUGUAAUAGAAUGGUUUUGAAUCUUGGGAAAUACAAUACAACUUUCAGCAACGGAUCUCUUGGCUCUCGCAUCGAUAAAGAACGCAGC